GUGUCUGGAUGGCAGCUGAUAAUGGUUGAGUUUUGGAAAAGUCAUGAAAGUGGAAAACAAGCCUUCAGAUUCAAUUUAUCAGAAAUCAGUAAAGCCCAUAGAUAAUAUUUUAAAUCGAAUUAUCUGACCAUACCAUAUACAAAAGCCAUGUAAUGCUGCAGCUGAACAAGUACCGCCAUAAAGUGCUGUCAGUUAAAUGGAGGUGUACGUUAUAGAGAGUGCCCAUUAUGAUCUUAUCUAUACUUAUAUUCAUUCUGCCGUUGAUACAUCAAAAGGUUUUUGCUCUUUGAUUCAAAGGAGUCCUGGAUUCUUGUGAAUAAAAUAAAUUAAAUGAAAACUUGAUUUGCUAAAGCUCCUACGAUGUACGCACCUUUCACAAGCACUUAGUGACAUUAGCUUGUAAGUUGUAAGUAGCUUUUGUGAUGUUUGUCUCUUUAUUAUGGACUAUGAAAGAACUUGGUGUGAACAGAAAUGAAGUGUGCUUCAAAAA